UACGUAGGGGGCAAGCGUUGUCCGGAUUUAUUGGGCGUAAAGAGCUCGUAGGCGGUCUGUCACGUCGGCUGUGAAAACCCGAGGCUCAACCUCGGGCCUGCAGUCGAUACGGGCAGACUAGAGUUCGGUAGGGGAGACUGGAAUUCCUGGUGGUAGCGGUGAAAUGCGCAGAUAUCAGGAGGAACACCGGUGGCGAAGGCGG
rnacentral:rRNA from 1 species